rnacentral:rRNA from 1 species
AAUAUUUGAUAAUGGGGGCAACGCUGAUCCAGCCAUUCCUCGUGUGUGAAGAAGGUCUNCGGAUUNUNAAGCACUUUAAGUUGGGNGGAAGGGUUGUAGGUUAAUACCCUGUAUUUUUGACGUUACCAACAGAAUAAGCACCGGCUUAGUUCGUGCCAGCAGCCGCGGUAAUACGAAGGGUGCAAGCGUUAAUCGGAAUUACUGGUCGUAAAGCGCGCGUAGGUGGUUCGUUAAGUUGAAAAUGAAAGCAACGGGAUUAACCAGGGAAUAGCUUUCAAAAAUGACGGGCUAGAGUACAGUAGAGGGUAGUGGAAUUUCCUGUGUAGCGGUGAAAUGCGUAGAUAUAGGAAGGAACAUCAGUGGAGAAGGCGACUACCUGGACUGAUACUAACACUGAGGUGCGAAAGCGUGGGGAGCAAACA